CACGUAGGGUGCGAGCGUUGUCCGGAAUUAUUGGGCGUAAAGAGCUCGUAGGCGGUGUGUCGCGUCGGCCGUGAAAACCUGCAGCUUAACUGUGGGCUUGCGGUCGAUACGGGGCAUCACUGGAGUUCGGCGAGGGAGGACUGGAAUCCUGGUGUAGCGGUGAAAUGCGCAGAUAGUCAGGAGGAACACCGGUGGCGAAGGCGGGUCUCUGGGCCGAUACUGACGCUGAGGAGCGAAACGCGUGGGGAG
rnacentral:rRNA from 1 species